UGGGCCCGCGGCCUAUCAGCUUGUUGGUGGGGUAAUGGCCUACCAAGGCGACGACGGGUAUCCGGCCUGAGAGGGUGACCGGCCACACUGGGACUGAGAUACGGCCCAGACUCCUACGGGAGGCAGCAGUGGGGAAUAUUGCACAAUGGGCGCAAGCCUGAUGCAGCGACGCCGCGUGAGGGAUGACGGCCUUCGGGUUGUAAACCUCUUUCAAUAGGGACGAAGCGCAAGUGACGGUACCUAUAGAAGAAGGACCGGCCAACUACGUGCCAGCAGCCGCGGUAAUACGUAGGGUCCGAGCGUUGUCCGGAAUUACUGGGCGUAAAGAGCUCGUAGGUGGUUUGUCGCGUUGUUCGUGAAAACUCACAGCUUAACUGUGGGCGUGCGGGCGAUACGGGCAGACUAGAGUACUGCAGGGGAGACUGGAAUUCCUGGUGUAGCGGUGGAAUGCGCAAAUAUCAGGAGGAACACCGGUGGCGAAGGCGGGUCUCUGGGCAGUAACUGACGCUGAGAGCGAACGCGUGGGGAGCGAACAGGAUUAGAUACCCUGGUAGUCCACGCCGAACACGGUGGGUACUAGGUGUG
rnacentral:rRNA from 1 species